GGCUGCUAGGAGGAGCCGAGACGAGAUGAGGGGGAGGAGGUGGAGUCUGGCUCCAAAGAGGCGGAGCGCCGCUCUGAGCUCUAGCUGCAGCCUUUAGUGGGGUUCAGAAACUGGCAGCUGAGCUUGCCCCACGGCUUGCAGUGAGAAGACCAGGAGACACGCGCACGCCCAGCGGGUGUCGAAGUUUGGGGCCUGUGGGAGAUGGAGUCGUUGGGGUGUCAAGUUCAAGGGAGUGAGAGCCGCAGAUGGCAAAGAGACCGCUGGGACCUAGCGAGUGGCUCCCCUUUCCUUCCAAGCACUCUUCCACUACUACCACCACCGUCCUUUUACAGAUAGAACUGAAGUCAGAUCUUCCCACCUUCUCAUAGCGCCUCUUCACAUACCCCUCACCCCACUCCCAUCCGCUAAAUAGAUGGGAAGCUAAUGAGGAUGAUAGGAAGGUUCUAGGUGGGGGCUCCAUCUCCCUGUAAAAAAGAUCUCUCUUUUAUGGCGUCAGUGUCUAGCUACAAAUAUCACUAUGCUACGUGACAACAGAAGGGGGAAGAGUGAAGUAAUGGGGAGGAAGGGCAGGGAAAGUUUCAAAUUGCAGAGAAUAAUGGCGAGGAGUAUAAGCUUUAAUUACGUGAACAGUGAUUUAUAAAAGGACAGAAAGGCAGCAUGAGGACGGAGAACAAUAUUGGAAGUAAAAAACGGGGAAAUUAGUUGACUGGGGUCAAGGAUCAAUAAUAUAGAUAGAGAUUUCUGUAUAUUAGUGAGGGUGUACAUGCAGAUGUAUGCAUGUGUAAAGCCAGUUCUUUCAACACAUAUUAAAAUAUAGACUCAGACUAAGGUUAUUAGAGCUGGGAGGAAACUUAAGAAAUCUUCUCAUCCAAAUCUCUCAUUGUACAGAUGCAGUGAGUGACCAAUUGAGUGACAAUGCAAGCUCCAAGUAGAAAAGUCCUCUAAGUAGCUAAAGAAUCAGGUCAGGAACGAAAAUAAGAAUUUGAGAUUCAACAGAAUAUUGAAGCUGCAACACAAAAUUGAUUUAUGGAGGGAAUAUAUAGAGAGAGAACAAGGAUUGAAAUUUGUAUGCCCAAGAUGAUAUUUUUAAUUCAGAAUGCCAGAAAUAUUUGUUGAAUUGAAAAACUGGAUUGGAUUGAAUAUAGAAUGGGAAUCCUAGAAUAUUGAGCUUGGGCUUGAAUCAACUGAAGAGGAAGAAGGGGAGAAAUGCCAAAACCACAGGUGUUCACAGCAGUGGUAUCAAACUCAGAUAGAAAUGGGGUCACUAAUCUAUAUGUAAAACUUUCUUAGCAUAUUGACAUACUUUUGAAUUUUAGUGCUAUAUUUUAUUGUGUUUUUAUUUUUUAAAAAUUAUUUCCCAGUUACAUUUUUCAUCUGGUUUAGGAGGUACUUGGGAAUGUUGUGGGAUGUAAGCGGUCUGUGGACUGACUGACACAUAGCAUCCAGAAAACCUGACUCGGGUGCACUCAAAAAAAAAAAAAAAAAAAAAAAAAAAAACUUCUACAAGAGGUCCUACCCAGAACUGGCCCAGCAAUGUACCUAGUAUCAUGGGGCUCCCAUAGUCCAGGUGACCUUAAAUUAAAUUGAAACUAUACUCUCCUCAGGAUCUUGUGAGAACCCAUGGCACAGAAUUGCUCUCGGGGUUAGAUUUAUGAGUAUUCAGAAUAGUUUUUCAUAUUACCUAAAAUUUUCCUCAUUUCUUU
ensembl:lncRNA